UUCACGAAGGAAGAUGGACUUUGUUUUUGUAAUGACAUUAAAGGAAAUAAUAAAGCUGAAAACUACGAAAAGUUGGUUGAGGAUAUGCUUACAAAUUUUAAGGCCAUGGGCUGAAGGAUGUCAUUAAAAGUACAUAUGCUGCAUGCUCAUUUGGAUAAAUUUAAAAACAAUAUGGGAGCCUAUUCCAAAGAGCAAGGAGAACGUUUCCAUCAGGACAUCAUGAAUUUUGAACAACGCUAUCAAGGCCAAUACAA